UAAGUGUAAGGUUCGUUGAAUUUUUCCCCUAAAUGGUUAGACAAAAUCGCUGGUAGCUCUGUGAAAAAAUUGAGAAAUAAUUGGUUUGUUUGGCAGUUAGAAAGUCGUGCGAAAAAUAAGGUUGAAAGAGUUGGCCAAGGAGAGUGAAUGAAAGAGGACUAAUAAGAGUAGACUAAUUUAUUGCUAAAAUAACACAAAUAAUAUUAAAAACAAUACACAAGAAAAACAAAAAUAAAGUCGAAAAAACAAUACACAAAAAAAAAAAAAGAAAAAAAAGUUAAAUAAAAGCUGCCUUGAAAACGUUCAAAUAUAGGCGUUUUAAAGUCAGACGAUUCGAAUCAAGUGUAAAUAAUAAUAUAACAAAAACGAUGAAAUAAAUUUUAAAAAUUCCUUACAAAGUCUAAAAAUUAAACCAACAAUAAUCCCAGUUCAUCAUCAUCAAAAAAAAAAAAAAAAAAAAA